AUAAAAAUUUGUAACGAAAUUAGAAAUCUGAACUAGAUCUUUACAAACUGCUCCAUCGAUAUUAAGAGCUGAGAGAGAUUUUCUCUUUCCGUUUCUCUUUUCAAGCGCAAAGAAAUAGCUAGAGUUCCUUUCGCCUUCUUCCAGCCAUUUGGCUCUGGAUCUAACGAAUGCCCCUUUGGCUAACUCUAAAUAAAGUUCAUUAAUUUGAAAAUUAAUCUUAUCCAACUCUAAUUUUUCUUCUUCUGAAACAUUCUCUUUUGAUGAUAAAUCAUUUAACCGACAUAGCAAAUUAGAUUCAGCUUGAAGUCUAGAGGCUUUCAGUUCUUUACAUCUUUUAAUAGCAAUAAAUCUGGAUUUAUAUUUAAAGUAUUCCCAUUUUUCUUUAUAGCCAUUAUGCACAUUAGUAAAUAAUUCUUUCGCAAGAUUAAUUAUGCUAUCGUUAAAUUUAGUAUCCUUCAAUAGAGCAUUAUUAAAUUUCCAGUAACCCCGCAUUUUAGAAAUAGGUUGCAAACCACCAAGAUUUAUUAAAAUUUGCUUAUGGUCUGACAAAGGAGCAAAAGAGUGUGAAAUGUCCUUGACAAGGUGAAGAACUGAAGAGGAUAUAAGAAAAAAAUCUAUUCUAGAUCUAAAGGAUAAAUUUUUAUUAGACCAAGUAUAUUCCUGUGAAUCUUGGUUGUAAAACCGCCAGGCAUCAACCAAAGAGAGAUCAGAGCACAAUGAUAAAAUUACGUCAUUUCUUAAAGCAACACUGCAGGGUUUAGGGGGAAAUCGAUCUAAAACAUCAUCCAUGCACUCAUUGAAGUCACCACCUAAAAUUAUAUGAGAACCUCUAUAGUCCAAAAGCAGUUCUUUAAUUUUAACAGUGAUAUGAGAGAAAAACACUUUAUUAGAGUGGUGAGAAUUAUACCCAUAAAUGUUGCAUAAAAUGAAAAAAGAAUUGUCCAACUUAAUAACAGUCAAUAUCCACCUGCCGUCAUCUGAUCCCACCACUUUUAGUAUAUCCCCUUUAAAUUUGUGAAUAAGGGUUGCGACCCCAGCAGAAUGGUUACUGCCAUGACUGUAGAACACUGUAUUUCCCCAUUGUGUCUUCCAAAAUUUUUCAUCCACAUCUCCAGAAUGUGUUUCUUGUAAAAAAAUAAAAUCAACAUCACUUCUCUUACAAACUAAAAAAAUUGCUUUCCUUUUGACCACAUUGCGCAAUCCCCUGACAUUCAAAGACAGAACAGACAAAGAUCUAAACGUAUGAUCCAUUAAAACAAAUGAACAUGAACGAAAAAAAAUUCUAGAGUUUGAAGAAUAAGCAAUAAGAAAAAAAGUGAAAAAUGCAAAAACACUUAACUUAAACCAUCAAGGGAGAGGUGGCAACAACUUAUAACAUAUUGAACUAACAUGAAUAAACACAGCACAAUGUAUAAUAAAACCCAAAAGAUAAACAUAUAAAUGCAUAAAUAAAACAUUAAAUAAUAACGUAAAUAUCGAGCAGGGUUUACUUUGUGCUUGUAAGUAAAGUGAUGGCCAUUGAAUAAACUUGAAUAAGACAAGUAAUAUGAAAUAAUGACGAUGUCAAUGACAAUAAUAAUAGCAAAAAGAAUACGAUAUCAUUCAAAUAAGUAAAACAGUAAAGACAUGGCCAAUCCAGUCUUCAACACUAGAAGUGUUGAACAGCUAAACAUGCGACCUAAGGGGACAAAUCAACCUCGAGUGUCUAUAAAGGCUAUCGCAUUACUUGUUCCUCGAGUUCAGUCACCGACGACAUUCAAGAUUACUUUACCUCCGAAAAGAAGUGCUUCUUUCCAUCAAUUAACGCAAACGAGGAACGGAAUGAGGCCUUCUUGCCCGCAUCCCUUGCCGCUUUAACAAGAGGCCAGAGCUUUUCCCUCGCAGCUCUGUCUUCUGGAGACAGGGGCUCCGUUAGACGUAGGCCGUUAUCUUCUAGAAACUUGCAUCUUCUGGCGGCUCGCCAGACUGCAUCUCGAACACGGCGAAAAGCAAACAGGAUGAUGAUAGCCCUUGCCGGUCCCAGACGAUGAGCUAUGUCCACGCCUUGGUUUAGUCCAUCGCGAAUACCUGGAGCGACUCUUCCACAGACGUCAAUCGCAACCAUCCUGAUGUCCUCCCCUUCUUUUUCUCUUACUCCAUGCAACUUCAGCAGCCAUCUCCAGCUAUAACGUCUGCAUUCAUACAGCCCGGAUUUCAGGGACUUAUUUUCUUCUUUCAAACUCUGUAUCUCUCCAUCAAUGCUUUUCAAGGCUUCUUUGUCCCUGAUAGCACACGUACAUCUCUGAGACGUCUAUUUGACGUCUGCAUUUACAUCUGCAAGACGUAUUUUUUAGGGUGUUUGCUCAUCUGCAAUACGUCUAUAGGAUGUCUCCUUUUAGAUGUCAAAUAGACGUCUAUUAGAUGUCUUUAAGAUGUUUAUGAUUUAGAAUGUAUGUAAAACUGACAUCUUACAGACGUCUGUCAGACGUUUAUAGACAGCAGAUGCUUUCCAGAUCAAGAGAUCUUUAACAGACAUCUUGCAGACGUACGUGUGCUAUCUGGGGUGUUGUCCGACAUCCAGUACAAGUUGGUGAACCGUCGCGGAGAGAUUUUCAAGCAGCUUAGAUGUAGCUUCGGUUGUCAUUUCAAUUGUAGCAAUCUUUUUAAAAGAUUCAUCAUGUUUAGCAGAAAGUUCUCGUAUAGCCGUCAGUAUACUCGCGUUUCUGUCGCUUUCUUCUGGAUCUCUUUCCUCUUGUCGCUUCGUUUUUUUGGCCAGCGGUUUCUGAGGUGUAUCAGGAAGGGGGAUAACAGCCUCUGAUUCAAAGUUUUGAAUUGAAUCAUACCACAUUGGUGUUUCAUUCUCCUUUACCGAAUCCAUCACUGUGAUGUUAGCAGUAACGUUACUGAGUUCUGCACAUUCACUUUUGUUCGCGCCAGAAACACAGAGUGGCGAUGUUUUUAAAGAUUGCUUUCCCCUCUUCUUAGAUUUACCCAUAUAAUCAAAUACCGAAAAAGCCUGUGCUGUAAAAGAGUCCUCUGUGCUAAUUAAGUGAGAAAAAAAAAGUUGUGCAAGAUAUGUUAUCACCUCAUCACCUUAGCAGCCCACGCCUACGCGUCCACCUGUAUCGACGCCAUCUUGGCCCCCCAUUCGGAUGCGUCCGAAUAUCACGCAGCAUCUUCAGUAGCAGUGACGUCACCAGCGAGGCUCGGUCACGGCUCGAUUCGCCCGGUUCACCUGAUGCGUGUACACCUUCAAACAGUUAACGCCAGAUUACAUACUCCAGCAGCUCUUUUAAGAAGCCCUCUCUCUCUCUCUUUCUCUCUCUCUCUCUCUCUCUCUCUCUCUCUCUCUCUCAAUUCAAUUUAAUUCAAUAUGUGCUUUAUUGGCAUGACAAUUGUUACAAUGUAUUGCCAAAGCGUAGUGUUUACUUUGAAUCUAGAACAGAUUUAUAUGCAACAAAAACAUGCAUGUAGAUACAUUUAAAAUGUAGAACAAAUCAACAUUUUAGAAUUCCAUGAACAAUUUAAAAUUCAAUGUUGUGUGUGUGUGUGUGUGUGUGUGUGUCUUUCUUUCUCUCUCUCUCAGCUUUUCUGUUCCUAUUUUGCUGAUCUUGAAGAAGCUGCCAAGAAGGCUGAACAAGUUCUUCAAAGAUUCAACCCUUCACAGGUAAUACCAAAGGAAGGCCUAUCAUGGGAUUUGAAUUUGGCCAUCUUGUGUGUUACGGAGAAGACCAAAAGCUGCAAAGACAAAUACUUCCAGUGGUAGAAACUGAGAGUUUGCGUGAUGGCCUUUUCUCAGACUCUGAAUCUGAUGUAUACAGAUGAACUCAGGAGCCGCUAGAGCUGCCAGGGAACUUGAGCUUGAACUAAAGACCAAAAACGAAAAGAAAAUCAGUCACAGCAAACCGGUCAAACCAGUCCUGUUGGGGAUGAGGAAUGAACAUGGCCUACACUUCUGCCCAAACAGAAAAGAAAAGUUGCACAUUUCCACUGAUCCUAGAAUGAGCAAAUCAGCUGUGCAUCAUCUCUGGGUUUUGGGCAGGAAAUGACUAAAUAUGGAGGAUGAAGCCAGUUGAUGAAGAUAUCAAUUCAAUGGCCACCAAGUGAAGCACUGCUGCCUGAACCCAUCAGAUAUCUGCUGUGAAGACUGCAUUCACGAACAGCUCUACUGCGACAGCUCAGAUGUUACGGGCCAUAAAAGAAACUUACCAACUGAACAACUGGAAGAUAAGAGGAGGGAUUCAUUUAGGCCAGAACUCCAUCAAGAAUCAAUGGACAUCAAGACCAGGUGGUGUGUGAGGAAAGCACAGAGGACUGUCAGAGACUCCAGCCACCCGAGCCAUGGAUUGCUCUCACUCUUAACCAUCAGGCAGAUGUUAUCGCAGAACCUUCACCAGCAGACUGCAAGACAAGUUCUUCCCACAGACAAUCAGACUGAACUGAACUCGUACCAGUAACACCAGACACAGCACACCAACCUCAUAUGCACUGCACUCCAUCACUUACACUGACUGGACUCUGACUCACUAUUAUUCUGCACCGUGACAUUCUGUUUGCACUAAUUUAUGCCGUACUGCACUGCAAAGAUAUAUAUGUACUGUGAUUAUUGUUUAUUAUUGUUUUCAGUUCAUCCAUAUUGUCAUGCUGCAGUUUGCACAGAAGACUUU